rnacentral:rRNA from 1 species
AGAGUUUGAUCCUGGCUCAGGAUGAACGCUGGCGGCGUGCCUAAUACAUGCAAGUCGAGCGAACUGAUUAGAAGCUUGCUUCUAUGACGUUAGCGGCGGACGGGUGAGUAACACGUGGGCAACCUGCCUGUAAGACUGGGAUAACUUCGGGAAACCGAAGCUAAUACCGGAUAGGAUCUUCUCCUUCAUGGGAGAUGAUUGAAAGAUGGUUUCGGCUAUCACUUACAGAUGGGCCCGCGGUGCAUUAGCUAGUUGGUGAGGUAACGGCUCACCAAGGCAACGAUGCAUAGCCGACCUGAGAGGGUGAUCGGCCACACUGGAACUGAGACACGGCCCAGACUCCUACGGGAGGCAGCAGUAGGGAAUCUUCCGCAAUGGACGAAAGUCUGACGGAGCAACGCCGCGUGAGUGAUGAAGGCUUUCGGGUCGUAAAACUCUGUUGUUAGGGAAGAACAAGUACGAGAGUAACUGCUCGUACCUUGACGGUACCUAACCAGAAAGCCACGGCUAACUACGUGCCAGCAGCCGCGGUAAUACGUAGGUGGCAAGCGUUAUCCGGAAUUAUUGGGCGUAAAGCGCGCGCAGGCGGUUUCUUAAGUCUGAUGUGAAAGCCCACGGCUCAACCGUGGA